AAGUCGUAACAAGGUCUCCGUUGGUGAACCAGCGGAGGGAUCAUUACCGAGUUAUUAUACUCACCAAACCCACUGCAGACGUACCCAAUAUUAGCCCCUCCGGCAGGCGGCCCCAGGGCGGGGCCUCAGCUUAUGGCGCCUGCCGAAGGUGGCACAACUUUUGCUCUUUUAAGUACAAUCUGAGUUUAAAGACAAAAUAUCAAAAUUUUCAAUUGUGGAUCUCUUGGUUCUG
rnacentral:misc_RNA from 1 species